AGAUUGAACGCUGGCGGCAUGCCUUACACAUGCAAGUCGAACGGCAGCACGGGGGCAACCCUGGUGGCGAGUGGCGAACGGGUGAGUAACAUAUCGGAACGUGCCCUGGAGUGGGGGAUAACUAGUCGAAAGACUAGCUAAUACCGCAUACGAUCUACGGAUGAAAGUGGGGGAUCGCAAGACCUCAUGCUCGUGGAGCGGCCGAUAUCUGAUUAGCUAGUUGGUGGGGUAAAGGCCUACCAAGGCAUCGAUCAGUAGCUGGUCUGAGAGGACGACCAGCCACACUGGGACUGAGACACGGCCCAGACUCCUACGGGAGGCAGCAGUGGGGAAUUUGGACAAUGGGCGC
rnacentral:rRNA from 1 species